AAGCCUGCUCUGUCUCCACGGCGUGCCUCUAUGCUUGUUUCCUUUGGGGCUGAAAGCACUUUCUUUUAUCACUGAUGCUGCAGUUGAGUCUUCUUACAGGGAGAACCAGCAUGUCACACUUCAGCAUUAUCUGCACUACAAUUAUUGAUCUAUAUAUAAUAUAGAUAAUAUAACUAUCUGUACUCGUGCAAGCUCUCUCAUCCUUUUAAUUUCAGAUUUAUGUUAAAUUACACACAGCUUUAUGGGGUAGCUGCCUUCCAGAGCAUGUCAGCUGGAGAAUUGAAGGUGAAAGAUGAGAGCAUUAGCACCCAGCACUUUCUGUAAAUAUCAGGGUGCUAUUCAGUACCUCAGCAACUUUGCUCACUCUGCUGAUGGCAAAGAACUUCGGUGAGAACAGAGGAGUCUGAAGGGUUGUAAGUCUGGUACAAGGAGAACAUGGAAAGCUGUUUCAUUUGUCAAAAGACCACAGCUCAGGGAUCUGCAUAAAGCUGCGAUGUUUGGGCAGUCAGAAUUCAUUCUUGCAAUCAAACCCCUUAUAUUCUACAAGGACGUCCAUUUUAUGUCACUAUAAAGGAUCCUGAAAAGGAUUCCUCCCACACUUCCAAGCUUGCAAAUGGGAAAAGUGUAUUGAACCUGAGAGACAGUUUUGGGGUUGGUCAGUCUGUCUUUUGGCAGAGAGUAGCAAAGGAUAUAACUAUACAGAAUGACCAUAGAACAGAUAGAGGGGAGAUACUCUGGGAGCCCUUACUGACAUUUUCUUCUCCUCCCCCUUGGCUCAUUCUUUCAGGAUCUGUUCGUGGCAUUGCACAGGUUACUUCUGUUAGCUUUGCCAAUUUAACAGACCUGAUAGAACUGUGUGUUUCUGCAUGUCAAAAGUCAUGCUGUACAAAUUACUUCUAAAAUUCAACUCGUGUACCACACUGAAGUUGUGCCUUCAGUCCCACUGGAAACUGGGGGUAAAUCACAGCUCUACAGUCCAGCAGGGUGGAGUAGGAUGAAACCUUCCUUGGUUGUUGCCCUGAUUUCCAUCCCUAUCGGAAGGACUGGACGAGGGAGAAUUUCUGGUGACAGGGGAAGGCAAGAUUUCAGUAGGAGAUUCAUCUGUUAAUGCUGCAUCUUGCUGCAGGUUUUCAGUGGUCUUCAAACAGGUGUUUGUAUUGAAAUGUCGAAUCGGGAUCCCAGUCUCCUUUACGUCUGCAGAUUCUACUGCAUGAAAUGGAUAUGAUAUGAUAUGAAAUGAUGUGAGAGAAGGAAUACCUGAGGAAAGGAGCUAGCAAAGAUCUGUGUCCCGUUUUAUUAUUUUAUUAUACAACUUCAGCUCUUUGUGAUAAACUUUCUAUCUUUUUAACUUGCAUCACACUUAAAAGAGUCUUUCUCAUCUUUUGUGCUCUCUGGUCUAUUUCAAUAGAUUUUAUGACAAUCUGUCUAGAGAACAAUAGAUCUUUGUCCAACAGUUUCCAUGUUGAUCCUGACAUGCAUCAGUGUUUUCCAUCUCGCUCACAGUUGCCUUUGAACCUGCCUUGUAAUUUUGUCUGGUGCUGCUUCCAAUGUCAAAUGUGGCAUUUCUCCGUUGAAAACUGAUGCUUGGCAACUUGGAGACUAAUGAAUAUAUGUACAGAUAUUUUUCCUUCCAACUUUAAUGGUAAACCGAGGCUUGGAUCAGGCUAAAAUUUGAAUUCAUGAUGAAAUGCUAAAAAUGUGUACUCUUAUUUUCUGCCAAUACUUGGCUGAAGGAGUUUUUGCCCAUUAUGUGUCAUGUAAUGCAAUCAGCGUGGAAACAUCAUUUGUUGUUGUGAAUUUUGAGUAAGGUUUCUCACCCUCUGCUCAUGGUGGGUAAGAGUUCAGCUGUGCAGAGAAAAUCCUUGUACUCAGCUUUUCCAGCACGUAUUUUUGUGUAAGUAAAAUCGAACCAGUUUGUCUCAUGGCUCAAUUCUAAAGCUGCACUAAGCUCUUUGGAAAUGUGUGGCAUUUCACUGCUGUAGAGCAGUUCCUGAAGGCUCUGCCUGGUGGUUCCCAUUGGAUAGCAGUCCCCACUUGUUCUAGCACACAGCUGGCAUGGUUAAUGACUGGUAGCAUUUUAGAGCGUGAGUGAUUUUGACUGAUCACUGCAGGAAUAAGAAACUUGCCUAAGUUAAUCUGUUUUAAUCAUCUGCAGCAGCAGACACGUGCACACCACGUUGUCCUUCACGCUUGUUUCUCUUUUCUAAUUGUUCUUACGAUGCCUCACACGGUGAGACAGACUCUGUAAAGAACAGAUAAGGCGUAAAUUGUCGUACACAGUGCAGCUGGGGAUGUGAAGUGUAAGUAUAAAACUGAACAGACCGAGGAAACAGUGCAUAUGAGCAGAUAGAGGGCAUUAACCGAAUUUAUAACUGACCAGCCUUGUUUCUGUGACAGAAUGGAGUACCAGCAUUCCUUAGCCGUGUGAAGUUUGAUUGUGAACUCGUGUGCUGUUUUUCAGUGAGCAGUAACUCCUGUAUUUGAAUGCACAACAAGUACCUGCUGGCACUGCAGCCCUGUUCAAUGACAGAAUGGAGAAGCUGUGAUCUGCAGGAGCUCAGGUACGAGGAGCAGCACAUUACCAGGAGUGCAGCUUAGAAGUGCAUGAUCUGAAAGCACAGGAACAGGGGUUGUCAAGAAGCCAAAUCUACACUGAAUUAAAACCACGCUGCUUUGCUUCUGUGGAAGAGGGGAUACUUGGAUGCUGUAAAAAAAGUCACACUUCAAUUGAGCAUCAGUUCAUCACUGAAAUUACAAAGUGGAGCAGUUGUAGAGGCUGGAGCAAUGUGAUGCUGAGGUGAUCCAGAAGUCCUUCGUCUCUGCAGAGCAGCCCCAUCCCUGAGCAACCACCAGGCAGGUACGUUUUGAUGAGGUACAGAAGCAUGGAGACCCCUCAAAUUCAUGGGUGCCUCAGUUACCUAGGGCAGGUUGUCUGUGAGGUGAGAGUGCACAGAGACCAUAGUUGGAUAUCGUAUCUCUCUGGAAGAGUAGUUACCUUGGCAACUAUCAUAUUGUGUGAGGUUUGGUGUGAGGAUCUAUCACAGCAGAGAAGGCUGACAUAUGAGACAUAAUACUCCGUGCAUUUCUGAAGAUGGCAAGCAGGUGAUGGCACAAGCAUUUAUGCAGUUGGCAGUGUAAUGGCCGUGAGCUCGUUGCAGUAGCAGCCCUACACUCACAACUUAAAUUCCUCAUGUUAACGAAAAUGGAGAGCUGUGCAGUGGUACACAUUAUCAGCACUUUUUCUGCUGGAGUUCCUUGAGAGUGAAGGUGAAUAAAACCAUCCUGCUUACCUUACCACCUCCCACUUGUUUUGCCUAAAACGCCUCAUUGAAAUUCCUUAGCAGAGCAGGGCCGUACAGCUCCUGGAGGAUCCUCUUAGGUCUUGUUGGUAAGAGGUGGAUUUGCCUGAGCUGCUGGCUUCUUUUUCUUCAAAGAUCUCGGUAAGCUGUGUGAGUUCCCAAGGCACCCAUCCCACUGCCAGUCCAGGGGAGCACACAUGGCUCAGAAUAAUGGAGGCCCUUACUGAGGAUGUCAGGGCUCACAAUUCCUCUCCUCUUGUUCUUGUGAUGAUUCUACAAGGCGCUGGUAGGGCUUGUUAACAGAGCUGAUCAAUGAGACUUGUGUGGGAGGGUUGCUAAGAUCGAUUCUGCGAUUAAUCGAAGAAUCCUUCCGAUAUUGAUUUUUUUUUUAAGCAGCACAAACUGGAAGAAAAAAGAAAAAAGAAAAAGGAGUAUUCACCACUCUCAGUGUGUGUCACUGAGCCUUCCUGAAGGGCAGAGUCUGGAUGCAGCUGCGCCAGGCGUUUCAGGAGGUGCAGACCUUAGAGCCCCCUGAGCAAGGAAGCAGAGAUGGGGUUGCUCAGGGUGCUGGAUUCUGGCUUGAAUCUUAAAAAGAUUGCUCCCUCCUCGUUCCAUUUUAGUUUCCUGGUUUUGUCUUUCCAUAGCAAAUGUGGUUCCUCAAGCAUUGCAGAGUAUGGGUGCUUUUACUUGAUUUUGAAGUAUUUUAAGCCUGAUUCUCUUUCCACCAGCCUUGCUCUUUGUAGCAAUAACUGCAACAGAUUGGUGUCAAAUCACUGGAGUUUAGCUGGAAUGCUUUGUUUUCACUUCUGGAAAUGAAAAGAUAUGAAUGUGAGUGAAAUGAAUAGGUGGAGUUACUCAUUUUCUGUGUAAAUCAGUGGGAAGAACUCUGUCAGGUCAAGUCCAGCACAGACAAGAGGAGAGUGACUUCAAGGCGUGAAUGCUUAAAACCAUUUUACUAACAUGAAACCAAAAUCUGAUAAUGUUAGGGGAAUCAUUGAGUCACCAGGGUUGGAAAAGACCUCCAAGAUCUUCCAGUCCAACCAUCCACCUCCCACCAGUAUUUCCCACUAAGCCAUAUCCCUCAAUACAACAUCUAAGCAUUCCUUGGACACCUGCAGGGCUGCUCCCUGCGCAGCCUGUUCCAAUGCCUGAGCAUCUCUUGGAGAGGAAGUAUUUCCUAAUGUCCAACCUGCAUCAGAAUUAACAUCCCGUGGUGUUCCAGUGAGCACAGCAUAAGGUGGGUUUCUUGUUGUACAAGGAAAUCUAUUCAUUCACAACAAUACAAACCCACGUCAGUAUGCUUUUCAGCACACCCGCGGGGUUGCUCAUGUUCUCAGGACUGCUGCUUCCCACUGAAAGCUGCCAAGGCAGACUUCUAGCUGCAGCUUGCCAUGUGUGUUCACAAGGCCCGCCAGUCUGCCGCUGCCAUUUGAUUUAGGAUGCUAACAGCAAAGUGAGUUUUGUUGGAUGGAUUUGUAACUCCUGGUGCCGAGGAAGGAGAGACGAUGCCAGAUGUCAGCUGGAGGUGGGCAGACACCUCAGCUGUAAGCACAGGUAAGGUUUUACAGCUGCAGUCCUGCUUUCCAGCUUUGUUCUCACAGCUCUGGGCCUUCGGUGCUGCAGCCCACACAGGGCUGCCAUGCCGUGUGUCAGCCAGUGCCCUCCCACAGCCUGGGACCUCUGUACCUCCAGCUGUUCUGCACUGCAUGGUUUACCCCAGGUCCAGCCCAGAGCCUGGGUAAACCUUUGGGUGCCGUUUCCCACCUGCACUCCUCAGUUCUGUACUCUCUGUGAGACCAGCUGGCUGCGCCGUGCAAUUCAGUGCCUGGAAACAAUUGCACUGUCCCACCUCCUAACGCUGCCUUACAGGGAGCCUGCAGCGAGUUCUGCUUUGCCCAGCUCUUAAAAACAAGUGUACAAAGUUGCUAGCGUGGCCAAACUGAAAUGCAAUGUUUUAUCUUUCAGAAACACAAUCCUUUGUUCCUACUGACACCUCGUUCCAUUUUCCAGCUGUCUGAAAUAGGGCCUUUCUGCUGCAAGAGAUUUUCUUGCCGUAUCAGAGAUUCCCUCUCCCUCCAGGCUUUUUAUUUCUAAAACAGCAGGCUGGGAAUGCUCCUAUUGCAUCAUGCUGCACACAGGUGUGUGGAUCGGUGUUGGUGCAGGUAUCUCAUGCUGUGCUUCUGUGAAAGUGCUGCAGAUGUGUUGUGGGUUAUAACACACACUCAGUUGCACGGUGCAUCCUCCAAAAUUCCCACCAAGAACAACAGCACUGACAGCAAGAGAUGCACUGAUGAACUCACACGGAGCACUCACCAAGCAGAGGUGGUUUUGUUCCUAGGCACUAAAGGACGAUGACAAACGACAUGCUUGCUGCUAUAUUAAUAGGUUUCAUUUUGCCACAAAUCUCACAGCACGCUCUGCAGCUUGCCAUACCUUUGCCACACCAAACCAUCCUGCAGGACGUUGCUCACAUCACGUUCACAUGCUGUCCUUUCUGACAAAUCUGCCAGGCGAUGGAGCAGGACAGGGGUGUCAGGGCAGUACUGACCAGGAGGCACAGACUGCUUCAGUCGGGAGGAAUGGCUCUGUGACUGCUGUGUUGUAUCUGGCUGCUGGCUGUGGGAAUCUGUGUGUAAUUUGUUGUAGUUCACGUCUGCAUGCAGGUUACUAUUUUCUUUGUGCUUGUAACUGUGAUUACAGUGUUCAGACUCUGCAACUCUAGCACUGUACCCAGAGUAGGCAGUGUCACCUAUUGAGGUUGCCCGAGAGCUCCCACUAUAAAUCCCAAUUUCUAAUACAGCCGUGUGUCUCUGCAGCAGUCCCUGUGCAGACUUGUUGCUGGUUCACACUUGCUGGCACUUCACAAAGACGCAGGUGAGCUGGAAGGUGCUUUCCCCAUCAUUGCUUGCAGCCUGUCUCAUUGUCAUCUUCAGUCUGACAUACCUGAUUGUUUUUGCUGGGCUGCAGUGUGCAGAAAUGACCGUGGCAAUAAUUCUGCCACUCUCCUUAAACUUUCCAGAUGCCAUUGAUGGACUUUUCACUGCUGGGCAGAAGGCAUUUGAAUGAUUGUUUGUUGUGAAGUACCUUCUGCAGAGACUGCCUGCAGGUUUGGGAGGCAGCUGGAUGGCAUCAUGCAUAGUAAUCUGAUGACCUUUUCUCCUUGGGGCCAUUUCCUCCCAUCUCAAACAGCUUGGCAAUACUAAGAAAGUAUCCGACGGUUCAAUACAGCUGUGUAAUAGAAGUUUUUCUCAUUACAUUUCACACAUUGACUGAUUUUAUCUCAAGAGUAAUCACAGCAGCUAGAAAUGACGGGAAGCCUCAGAAGAGAGUUGGAUUAAUACCUGAAGGCAGUUUCCUCUGGAAGUGAGCUUUCCUUUGAGGCGUGGAGCAGCGCUGCUGCUGUGGCUGCUGCACUGGGGCUGCAGGAAAGUCCCUCUGUGCAGACAAGGCUCGUUCUGGGAACAUGCAAAGAACACAGAGCUUUCUCUGUGCAUCUUUUUUGUCCUCGAGGAUGGUGGGAAAUCCUUUAUCACGCAUAGUAAUUGUCUUGAUGUCCAAUAAAGAGAGUAAUGACAAACACUUCCUUGCCAGACGGUGAGAAUUGCAUGCAGACAGCUGGGUUACUUUCCAGCUUUGCAGGAGCAUAUCUGCCCAACAAGCACGGCGUACAUUCGGAGAUACCCGAGCACGCAGGGCUGACACUUGCUUUUCAGAAGUGCCCUUCUGGCAGGCACUCGAAUGCUCAGACACCAUGUGAAAUGUACACAGGACAUCAGUGGGACGAGCUGCAUAACUCACACCUCCAACACAUCUCUUUUCACUUGCAGUAUUUGUAACUAGCAGUGAUUUCCUAUUGCGCACUUUUGCUUUAGGAAUGACUUUUAAAAUACCAAUUAUUUGUUCCAUAGGGACUUUUUCCCCUGCUUCUGCUUGCCCUCUGAGUACAUGAAGGAGGCUGAUGUCAGUGGCAGCUUUUAUGGCCCUGAAUGCACAGCAGCUCGACCUAUUCUACUUUUGCUCCUUCAGUCAGCAUGACUUUCAGAGCUCUUCAUUUUAUCUUAUAUGGCUAUUUUAAUGAAUUCAUUGGGGACAUUGCAGUGGCAAUGCUCAGUCACAGCCUGACACAGUGGUGGAGCACCUGGUGGGAAGGCAGGCCAACCCAGGGGAGCUCAGGUGCAAGCAAUGGUGAGCGAUGAAGGGGUGGAGGCAGGAUGCACCCCUUGCCAGCUCUCAUUUAGGGGUUGGCAGUGGAGGUGAGGGUAUCUCUUGCUGGAGGUUUCUGCUUAUGUGAGGCCUUCUAAAGGUAAGCAGCUUUUUUCCUUCAUUUUGUGUCUGUGGCUGCUGCAUUUGGGCUUGUUCUCAUUUGCUGUAGCCAAAGGCUUUGCCACACUGCUAUUAUCAUCCUAUUAUAGUGUUACAGGCAUUAAUAAUAGUUAAGGGGAUUUAAAUCCAUGGUGAUGCUGGGCAGGCUGCAGGGAUGUGCAGAUGUCAUCUCCCCUGUAUUCCUGGAGGAGUUUUGGAUGCUCAGUAGCAGUGAUGCCAGUCUGGAGCAUGCACCCAGAGCAUCUGUUUGGAGUUAAUGUAGUUCCCCCACAUCUUGCAAGGCACAGAGCUGGGAGAAAACAAGGGUGCCUGAGUGCUCAUCUGCUGCCCUGCUCUUAGCUGCUGCUAGAUACAGCUCAUGACUUGAUACCAGUUCUUUGUAAAAGAGCCCUAUGCCAUGCCAUGCAGGGCCUCGUGCUGCAGCUGCUGACUGAUGCAUGACACCACUGCUGUGAGGUGGUUGUGUUUGCUCACUCAGGUCAGGGUGUCUCAAAGCAGCACGAGUUCCACGAGUUCCACGUCGGUGCCCAGAGGCAGCUGCUGUUUUACAUCAUGACAAUGUCAAUUAUCACUGAUGGCACUCCUGUAAGGAGUAAAAUGGCAUUGACAAAAGAUGCAAUUACUUGGCUGUUUGCUUCCUUAGUCCUCUGCUCCUGUCAGCAUCUGGCUGUUUCUUUGGUGAUGCCUUUAAACCACGCGUGUGACAGCUGCACUGCAUUGCAAGACACAGCUUUCCCCACUUGGAUGUGCGUGACGAGAUGUGCUGUUGCAGGGAUGUUCCGGCUCUCGUAACUCUGCUGGAGAAGCUAAAUAGAGGGUUGUGUUCUUUCCACUGGAGGUGCAACGUUGAUCUCAGCCCCCAUCUCUCAGAUAGCUGGAGUGUCAAGCACUGGGUAGAAUUGCUGUGAGUGCGCUGGCUCUUGCUGUGCUCCUGGCCAUGCCUCUGCUUCAUGUCCAAGUGCUCAGGCAUUUGGAGCUGGCUGCUGCAUCAGCCCAGCUCUCAGAGGUCCCCCCCCAGCAGCUGCUGCCUGGGGCUGCUCGCAGGAGCUGAGGGCACAGCCGGUGCUGGCAGAGGCUGAUGGUCUGUCCAGAGCAAAUUGUUCUCCACCAUCACAGCCAUCUGAUGUGUCCUUAGAAUGAUAUCUGCUCUUGGGAGACAAAACUAACAGCAAACAACAGCAACAAAAACUUUUGUGAUCAGCUUCUAAGUGAGAACAUGCGCUAAUGAUGAUUUUGGGUGCAUCCCAUCUUGUCUCUGGAAAGCACUGAAAUAACUGCUGUGUUUUUGCAUUGGAAACAGUGAUGUUGCUGAAUGAUAGCUAUUCUUUGUGACUCUCUCAAUUUCUUUAAACUGACAGCUUAAGAAAAAGCAGAAGAAUCUGGUAGUGAAGCUGGAACUUCUUGUUUUGAUCAUUUUGUAAUAGCAGACUUGGGGAAUUCAUUCCAGGACAAGUUUAUAGCCUACAUUCAUGUUCUGACAUUGUCAACAUGAGUGGAAAUACCACCCCUCCCAGCCCCUCAAGAUUUUAAAUAUCAUGGGAAAUGUUUUUAUCCUUUGGAUCUGUGGCAAAGUCUGCAUGUUUUAACCUUGCAGCCUGUGCUGUUCAGCCACAGGUCGUGUGCUGCUGUCCCAGCAGCUGGGGCUGGGUCCCUGCAGUCAGUUUGCACGUGGGGUGGAGGUUUGCUGAGGCUGUGCAGUUGGGUGCCAGGCAAUCAUUUGCAGAGCCCUCACACCUUUGUAUUGUCCCAGUCUGAUAUCUAUAGCACUGUUCUACUAAGCCAAAAGGCUUUAUUGUGACAAGUGCCCUGUGUCAUUCCUUCCACUGUCGCAUGCUCCAUUCGGCAUUCCCUCAUGUAUGAAUGACACAGGGGAGGGAUUGUGUACUGCACUGUGAUACCACUUGCGUCUCCUCCUUUGUUCCUAGGCAUGUCAUUACAUAUGGAUUUGGACCUUAACAAACCAUUUUGUUGCUUUAGGUUACACUUGCUCCUGCCUCAGCCUACCUACAUGUUUUAGCUUAGAUUUUGGCAAGGCCUCUGUCUGGCCAGCUGGUUUUUGUGUUUGGGACCAUCCUGUCUUUUCUCUUGAGUUACUGUGAACCCUUCCUUCUUCCUGACUGCACUUACAGUAACAGGGAUGGAUGAAUUUAUCAGAUGUUUAUGUAUUCACACAAUUAAAACGCAGAUUUUGGUUUGUUACUUUCAUCUCAUGGCUUCCCUUACCAGGAUGCAGGCAUGUAGACACACAUACAUGGUAGUGGAGGGUUUGAUGCAAAGGGCAAUUUUGAUGUAAGCAUAGCAGGGUAAGCCAUCUGUUGAUUGGCCUUUGUCAGCCAAAUUGUGCUACCAGCUGGCAUAGUGAAUAUGCAUGCAGCACUCUGCAGGACCAAACUCGUAAAUUCAGAUUGCCUUACGUGAGCUUAUAUGUGCAGUUCAGCUCCACAAAAAAGAAAAGAAGAAAUUGCAUGCAUUGCUUAUGCAACAAAAUGUUGCUUGUUUAUAGUGGCACUUACAAGUUGCAGGGGAAGCUGAUAUCCUCCUCAAUUAUGAGGGCUGAAAACCUAAUUAAAAUGUGUUAUAGCAUCAAGUGAUGCAUUUCUGCCCCCAUUGCUCCUUUUUAACACAGGUAAUUGGCUGCAGAAGCAAUCACUGUUCUUGUAAUACGAAGCAGCAAAAUGCUGCGUAAACCUUGGUGAGAGGAAUGUGAGAAAGCACUCUGUAGCAAACCCCAUUGUGGAUCUUGGGAAGGCUUUGGAUGCUGUGCCAAGGCAGAACCCACCUUCAACAAAUGUGGCAUCAGAAGCAGACAGCAGUGUUUCUUAAAGCCAAAGGUGACGAUGGCUGUGAACAAGCCAUAGGCCAUGUCAGCACUGCAGUGAGAUCACCUUUCCUCUCACCUUGGAAUAACCUACAGCUCUGCUCCUUUUGUCAUCUGAUGAGUUCACACGGACAGUGAAUUUACAUUAAGCAACAGCAAAAUUGCUGUUUUAAGUUGAAGGAGGGAAGAUUUGGGCUGGGUGUUGGGGAAGUACUUUACUAUGAGAGUGGUGAGGAGCUGGAACAGCUGCCCAGAGAGGCUGUGGAUGCCCC